AUUGAACGCUGGCGGCAGGCUUAACACAUGCAAGUCGAACGGUAGCAGGAGAAAGCUUGCUUUCUUGCUGACGAGUGGCGGACGGGUGAGUAAUGCUUGGGAAUCUGGCUUAUGGAGGGGGAUAACGACGGGAAACUGUCGCUAAUACCGCGUAUUAUCGGAAGAUGAAAGUGCGGGACUGAGAGGCCGCAUGCCAUAGGAUGAGCCCAAGUGGGAUUAGGUAGUUGGUGGGGUAAAUGCCUACCAAGCCUGCGAUCUCUAGCUGGUCUGAGAGGAUGACCAGCCACACUGGAACUGAGACACGGUCCAGACUCCUACGGGAGGCAGCAGUGGGGAAUAUUGCGCAAUGGGGGCAACCCUGACGCAGCCAUGCCGCGUGAAUGAAGAAGGCCUUCGGGUUGUAAAGUUCUUUCGGUAUUGAGGAAGGUUGAUGUGUUAAUAGUACAUCAAAUUGACGUUAAAUACAGAAGAAGCACCGGCUAACUCCGUGCCAGCAGCCGCGGUAAUACGGAGGGUGCGAGCGUUAAUCGGAAUAACUGGGCGUAAAGGGCACGCAGGCGGUUAUUUAAGUGAGGUGUGAAAGCCCCGGGCUUAACCUGGGAAUUGCAUUUCAGACUGGGUAACUAGAGUACUUUAGGGAGGGGUAGAAUUCCACGUGUAGCGGUGAAAUGCGUAGAGAUGUGGAGGAAUACCGAAGGCGAAGGCAGCCCCUUGGGAAUGUACUGACGCUCAUGUGCGAAAGCGUGGGGAGCAAACAGG
rnacentral:rRNA from 1 species